GAUAUAUUUAUAUACCAUUCAAUAAAAUAUUUAAUACACUAUUUAUACCAUUUCGUACAAUACAUCUGUUCUAAAAUAUAGCAACUUUUGGCUAUACAUAGAGAUAUACUCUUGUUUAAAUUAAAUGUACUGUGGAAGUUGUAAUAUUAAAAGACCCUCAUUGUUAUUUAACAAAAUAGAAUACAAAGAAAACAAAAUUUUGGUUUUAUUAAGGGUAGCGCAGUAAUCGUACAAAAUACAAGGACUUGUGUGCAAAAUAUCCUUCUCUCCGGCUCUCCCACACCAAAUCCUCUCACCCCCCACCUGCGCCCCGCGCCUCUCGCCGCCGCCGCCGCCGGCGACGACGAAUUUCUUCCACCCGCAUCCCCCUCCUCCUAGCAAGCUAGCCGACGGCAACGCCUCCCGGUUCCCCCUAUGAACUGACGUCGAGACCUCAUCCCGGCCGCCACCAGCGCCAACGCCGCUCCUCCUCCUCCACGAGCCGGUGCCUGGAUAUUUCUGGAUCUGAGGCCGGCCCGUGGCUGCAGGACUGCGUGCACCAUUCUUCCGACCCGACGUUCUGCCGCCGCGCGCCUCCAUGCCCUCCGGAUCAAGCUCCCCCUGUAUUAGGGUGGGGUUUUUUGCCUGGGUUGGCGAGCGAGGCAAGAUGCUGUGGUGGGACACGCUGCUCUGCUCUGCUCUGGCGUACGGCGUACCUAUACGAGAGAACCAAGUGCCGCCUCCGUCAGCCGUGAGGUGCUCAUGGAGGGCAAGCCCAUCCCCACCGAGCUCCGCAACAAAGACCUCCAGGACCAGGAAAGAGCAGGAGAAAUGGAUUGUGGUGCGCGAGUUGGGGAAAUUGUUCUAAAAGUGUAGGAAUAAUAUACUCCAAUCCAACUAGGAAGGAACAUGGGGGGCACAAGAAGAUUUUCACACCACUUAGCCCAACCCUGUUUCAUGUAAUGGCUUCUUGCUUAAUAGGCCUUCCAAGUAAAGAUGGCAUAGGCUGAGUUGCAGGAUGGAAAUUUAUCAGGAGUCAGCUCCACUUUCAGUGAAUCCAUCCUUCUCCUGGAGGAAGAGAAGAUACAUGAUGCAGUUGGACAAGUUGGUGAAAAAAAAGGAAUUGAACUUUUGCAAGAUAUACUGAAAUAAAGUCAGUGGUUAAGUCUGAUAAAUUAUCUGCUGCAUUGAAGUCCCCUCAUGCGUUUCUGCGCAAGAUGAUGGAGAGUACAAUGGAUGACUGGUCAAUCAGAAAGGGUCUUCAACAAAGUGGAGGUGUGGUUAAAUUAUAUGUACAUUCAAACUAAUAUUUAUCAGAUGGCUUUGGAUGGGAUUUCAUGGACAAUGUUUAUAUACAUUGUCACUAUUUAGGUUAGAGAAUACAGAACAAUACACACUGUGUCAUAUUUGGGUACAGGGACCGCUCAUAUUCUGGGAUGCAUUCUUCAGCUUUUGUUAACUGUGAUGAUGUAGCCUUGAGCUGCAGUCAACAACGGUUCCUUUCGAUUCUGUCAUGCCAAUUUCCCCAUCCCUGCACUGUCUUUCACAAUUAAGUCAUCCCUAUUUUUGUACAAUGCAAUGAACAGCUGCAAGCAUAGUUGCAAGAGUGAUAUUUUGGUUAUUCACUAAUAUGGUCAUAUUAUGGUUUGAAGUUUGGUCAAUUUAAUUAAAGAGCACCUAUGUUAACAAAGCUUCCAAUUGUUUUUAUAUUGUUAUGAUCAUGACAUUAACCUGUGUGGUUGUACUUUUAAUUAAUAUGCACGGGGAGUAUUUGCACGAGCAAAUUUUUACAUGAAGUUUGUUCAUUUGACAUUUGGCGUCACUGAAUACAAAUUUCUGACUAUGUAUGUACUAUGUUUUAAGAUUACCUUUUUUAGGUUAAUUGAAAUGAAGGGGAAACAUUCAAUCAAUAAUAACUAAUUGGCAUUUCAUGAGACUUUUGCUUGCGCAGCUGUGUGCGGUAGUAGCACCGCGCUUUUCCCUUCUAAUACUAUCCGCACACUCUAUUUCUUUUGAAUGAAAAAGACAGGUGGGGUUAGAGGCUACACAUGUCAACCACUUUUUUUUUACCAACUCUCUAUUUUUUUUAAUUAAAGUGAUUAUAUAGGGCUAAAGGGUCCACAUGCCAGUAAUAGAAAUACAUACAAUAAUUAAAAGAUGAUAUACAUAGGAAAUGAUGAUAAUGCAGAUUAAUGAUAUUUUUGAAAUCCCAUUGCAAUGCACACGCAAUAUGGUAAUAUAUAUAGGAAAAAGUCCAAAUCCCCCCUAGACUAUGCCCAAGAGUCCAUCUAGCGUCCCAAACUAUAAAACCGGGUAUUUAGCCCCCAAACCUUAUAAUCCAGUCCAUUUAACCCCCUAAGCUGUUUCACAAGGCGGUUUUGCACAUGUGGUGGGCUGACUGGACCGUAUUUGCCACGUCGUCAUGCUGACCAGGCAAUUGCAAAGUACAGGAGGGAAAGGUGAAGUGAUCGCGAAAUAAAAUGAGGGAGGGAACGCACAUCGCUCCAUAUAUCAUUCUUGCCUCAUCGUACUCCCUCAUCCCAUCUCCUAGGUUUCUUCUCUCGAGUGUUGCGUCUAUGACGACCAUGGCUGCCUGAUCACGCACUGACGGGAAGAUUAAGGUGAUCGCGGAGUACAUCUUGGAGUAGCACAAGCUAGCAAGAAUGAAUAAUUUGGAGAUACUUCCUGUCAGAUUCCAUUAUAAUGGGGAGUUCGCCAAUUCUAGAAGGAUUGUGCAAUACGUUGGUGGAGAUGAAGGGAUGUUAUAUAUAGAAAAUGAUAAGAUUUCUAUGCCUGAAAUUAGAGGACACCUUGCAGACCAUGUCGAGGUCAAGGAUGCCAUGCAGCUUCACUGGUUGUUUCCUGGAAAAGAAUUAAGCACAUGAUUACGUUUACUGACAGAUGACAAGGCAUGCUUUGAUAUGUCAAGUUGCAUUGCUGAAGGUGGAGUGGCUGAAAUUUUUGUGGAGGAAACAAUGUCAGAUUAUAAUUCUAAAGAAAGUGAUUGGGAAACUGACAGUGUGAAAUCUGAUGAGAUGGAAAACGUGGAAGGGACACAAUAUGAUGCAAACAAAGAAGGAAGUGUGGGAGAAGAUAGUGACACUAUUGAUAGUGACUAUCAACCAGAAAGUGGAAAUAGCUCACCAGAUGAUGAGGAGGUAGUAAACCUACGAAAGUUUGCUGAGAUGUAUAACAAAAAGUUAAAAGCAAUGAGGCUAAUUCUACAAGAUCCUGAUGCAAACAGUGUGCCCAUUGAGUUAAUAGGUCAUGGAGAUGAUAGCUUGAAUGAGAUAAUUGAUGAACCUACAUAUGAUUCUAGUGAAGGUUAUUCUUAUGACGAUGAUAGUGGUGAACACAACGACCAUACAGUGAGGAGAAAGAGUAGGUGGACAAGGUAUGACUCUAAUUCUGCUAUUCCCCAUUUUUCGGUUGGCAUGACAUUUAGAGGGAAAGAGGAAAUGAAGAAAGCUUUACUUAAGUACGGAAUAGUGACCAAACGACAUAUCGUGUUUAUCAAGGAUGAGAGGGACAAGAUCAGGGCUCCUAGAUGUCCUUGGCUGAUUUAUGGUUCAAAGAGAAGCAAAUGUGAUUGGUUUCAAGUUGGUACUCUCUGUGAUGAACACACUUGCCCACCUAAGGAGGAGGUACACAGUAAACUUGCAAAAUAUGACAUGCCUUAAGUGCUAUUUAUAAGUCAGGACAAGCCAUAGAUGGUUUUAUUGCUCAAUGCUAUUCAAUUGAAGAGUACAACAUAUGAUCAUUGCAUGGAGCCUGUGGAAGGAGAGAAGUGGCCUACAUCAGAUCACCCCAAGCCUUCACAACCUGGUUAUGUCAAGAUGCCUGGCAGGCCAAAAGGAAAAGCUAGGAAGCGGGAGCCUGGUGAGAAACCUAAAGCAACUAAAAUGUCAAGAGUUGGCACAGUUAUGAGGUGUGGGCUUUGUCAUAAAACUAAGCAUAAUAGCAUGGGUUGUCCACUCAAUAAAGAGAGUGGCAAGAAGAAAAAUGCUCUUGUCACAGGAGCUAAUAGAAAAAGAAAGCAACCUGAUGGAGCAACAUCAUCGACUGUUCAUACAAAACAACAGGCAAUCACAUCUCCCUUCAACUAACUGCAAAUUUAAUCCUAAUAUGAUUUGUGUACAUUGCAGGCAUCACAUAGCUUGCAAGGAGCAGGGGAAGGAACAAUUCACAGGCUAGGAAAGACACCUGUAAGGAGCUCCAAGAAGGUUUCACUGAAGGGCAAGCCAACUGGAGUAGCAAUCUGAUCAGCAGUGCUUUUUUGUGUUUAUACCUGUAUUCUUGUCAAGAUCUAUGUUCCUUACUAGUUUCCUACCACUUGUGUUAGUACUCUAAACCUGAAAAACAAUCAAAUUUGUUGGAUGUA